CAUCGGAACGUGCCCAAUCGUGGGGGAUAACGCAGCGAAAGCUGUGCUAAUACCGCAUACGAUCUACGGAUGAAAGCAGGGGAUCGCAAGACCUUGCGCGAAUGGAGCGGCCGAUGGCAGAUUAGGUAGUUGGUGAGGUAAAGGCUCACCAAGCCUUCGAUCUGUAGCUGGUCUGAGAGGACGACCAGCCGCACUGGGACUGAGACACGGCCCAGACUCCUACGGGAGGCAGCAGGU
rnacentral:rRNA from 1 species